rnacentral:misc_RNA from 1 species
GCCCCUCUGCAAAGCCUUCUUCAUCCUUAACACACUUUACCUGAUCCAAAUCUCUAGUCUUCCUCUCUCUACCCUUAGCAAGCCUAUAUAUAGAUCUUUCUCCGUCCCUGGUUCCUAGAGCUUGGUAUAGUCCGUCAAAAGCUUGGGCUCUUGCCUCACUCUCCGCCUUUUUGGUUCCAUUUCUAGCUAUCUUAUACUUAUCCCAAGUUUCAGAAAUUCUACACCUAGACCACUCCUUGAAACACUCCUUUUUUACUCUAACUUUGCUCUGCACACUUUCAUUCCACCACCAGUAGAAACCCCA